ensembl:snoRNA
AUCCUUUUGUAGUUCAUAAAUGUGAUGAUUGGGUUCUCACAUGUGUGAGACGUGCUUCCCUCAAACCCCGUGACAACAUCCACACAUACCCUGUCUGUCA